GACGUAGGGAGCGAGCGUUGUCCGGAAUUACUGGGCGUAAAGCGUGCGCAGGCGGUUUUGUAAGUCAGAUGUGAAAUCCCCGGGCUUAACCUGGGAACUGCGUUUGAAACUACAAGGCUAGAGUGUGACAGAGGGGGGUGGAAUUCCACGUGUAGCAGUGAAAUGCGUAGAGAUGUGGAGGAACACCGAUGGCGAAGGCAGCCCCCUGGGUUAACACUGACGCUCAGGCACGAAAGCGUGGGGAGCAAACAGG
rnacentral:rRNA from 1 species